rnacentral:lncRNA from 1 species
CCCCCCCCCCCCCCCCCCCCCCCCCGAGCGGAGCGGUCCUCAGUGAAGGCAGAGAGUUAAGUAAGAAAGCAAACCGCGGCAGAGUGCUCUCAGGCAGCGUUACUCCUCGCUUAGCAUCAGCACUAACGAGUCGUCCUCUCCCCUCGCCCGUCCGCAAAGCGAUCCAUCAUUUAUUUCCAGAUCACCUGGUGAUCUGUAACACAGAAAGAAAAAAAAAAAAAAGAGAGAGAGAGAUUAAGGAAGGAGCCGCCGACACCGCUCCAUGCGCAAUACCUAUCGGCUGAUGUAGAAAAGAAAGCAUAAUCCACAUGUAUAUUGCCUUUAACGAAAGGUAUUUCCUUCGCCUUCCCUCCCUACAGUACCGGCAUGCUUUUGCUGAGGGCUGCGUUUGCACAGUCGCCAGUAAUUACACGCGUGUGUCCGCCGGGAGAACGAAGGUUGGGAAGGUGGGAGGUAGGACGUGAUUCCUCUUUGGAGCAAUCAGGACUGGGAAAGGUUUCAUUCCGUGCAGACGUUGCCUUUGCUAGAUGGUGUCUCCCUUCGUGAGGAAUGGUGCUAAAAGUGGAUGGAAUCUGUUAAAGACACUGCUCUGCAUGUGGAAUUAUGGCAGAACUGACACUGACUAAGCCGUCCAAAAGCAUGCCCAGGAGAGGUGCAGAAACCUGUUCAGUAGUUCAGGCAGCGAUGACUUC